AUGCACGCUGGCGGCGUGCCUCAUCCCUGCAAGUCGAGCGAACGGACGAGAAGCUUGCUUCUCUGAUGUUAGCGGCGGACGGGUGAGUAACACGUGGAUAACCUACCUAUAAGACUGGGAUAACUUCGGGAAACCGGAGCUAAUACCGGAUAAUAUUUUGAACCGCAUGGUUCAAAGGUAAAAGACGGUCUUGCUGUCACUUAUAGAUGGAUCCGCGCUGCAUUAGCUAGUUGGUAAGGUAACGGCUUACCAAGGCAACGAUGCAUAGCCGACCUGAGAGGGUGAUCGGCCACACUGGAACUGAGACACGGUCCAGACUCCUACGGGAGGCAGCAGUAGGGAAUCUUCCGCAAUGGGCGAAAGCCUGACGGAGCAACGCCGCGUGAGUGAUGAAGGUCUUCGGAUCGUAAAACUCUGUUAUUAGGGAAGAACAUAUGUGUAAGUAACUGUGCACAUCUUGACGGUACCUAAUCAGAAAGCCACGGCUAACUACGUG
rnacentral:rRNA from 1 species